AGUGAACGCUGGCGGUAGGCCUAACACAUGCAAGUCGAACGGCAGCACAGUAAGAGCUUGCUCUUACGGGUGACGAGUGGCGGACGGGUGAGGAAUACAUCGGAAUCUACUUUUUCGUGGGGGAUAACGUAGGGAAACUUACGCUAAUACCGCAUACGACCUACGGGUGAAAGCAGGGGAUCUUCGGACCUUGCGCGAUUGAAUGAGCCGAUGUCGGAUUAGCUAGUUGGCGGGGUAAAGGCCCACCAAGGCGACGAUCCGUAGCUGGUCUGAGAGGAUGAUCAGCCACACUGGAACUGAGACACGGUCCAGACUCCUACGGGAGGCAGCAGUGGGGAAUAUUGGACAAUGGGCGCAAGCCUGAUCCAGCCAUACCGCGUGGGUGAAGAAGGCCUUCGGGUUGUAAAGCCCUUUUGUUGGGAAAGAAAAGCAGCAGGUUAAUACCCCGCUGUUCUGACGGUACCCAAAGAAUAGGCACCGGCUAACUUCGUG
rnacentral:rRNA from 1 species